AAGCUUUCGUGUUUGGUGGAGCACGGACAAUUACAAUCAUCAGUUUGAUACAGUAACUGAUUUCCAUCCAUUCGCAAACCGUAAAAAUGAAAUAGAUAUGUAUUUUGUUUACUUUUCCGUCGCGAUAUUGACGAGAGUUCCCGGAUGUGAUCUGGUCCCAGAGCGGAUCUCGUUCUGACCCGCUACAGAGGGAGUGAAUCAGCAGCCAUGGUCUGGUCGUACACUGUGUUACUUCUUGUCCUACUAGUUCGGUCUAUCUACUGCUGUUUAAUCAAUCCCUGUAAUUACCAGUACUGUAAAAAUGAAGCCAACUGUUCUUUAAACGAGAACUGCAUGCCUGAUUGUGAGUGUCCCUAUGGAUUUUCUGGGUCUAGAUGUGACAUAGAAAUAUCCGAUUUUAAUUGUUCGCAUUGCCAGGAGAACGAAGUGUGCUUUUCAUCAAAUGGGAGCUGGAUCUGUCAGACAACAACAUCAUCACCAACAACAACAAUUGGAACAGAGUCGACAACAAAUCUAAACAGAAACACCUCACAGGACGCAUGCUCGCCAAGUUAUGUGAGUCGCACCACGUCUGAGAGACGAUGCUUUGGUUCCUACUGCGUGUACGGCAAAUGUAACAAAACUCUUGAGAACAUUAACGGGAUACAGUCUCCGAUCGAAAGGUGCGUCUGUGACCCCGGGGCCGCAGGAACCAAGUGUGAGUUUCAGUGUUGUCGGGACUGUGGACAUGGAUUCUGCCAGUACAGUAUCAGUGAUCAGGAAGAAUUCUGUAACUGUGAACCAGGUUACACGGGAGAAAGCUGCCAAGAACUCCGACCAGUAGAAGAAGCCCCCCUCUCUGACCCGGACUGGGUGUGGUGGCUGGUGGGAGGCUGCACGCUCGCUUUGCUGGUUCUCCUGUUUUUACUGGUGGUCGUACCUUACUGUCUCUGGAAGAAGCGAGUCCUGGUGGUGAUGAAGGUUGCUUACUUUUUCCAGCCCUACGAAGACAACGACGACAAGGUUUGGGACGCCUUUGUGUCCUAUAAGUCGGACGGGGCGGACGAGGACUUUGUCCUCCACAAACUUCAGCCUGUCCUCGGAGGACCAUCCUGAUUCUGUCGCCACGUUUUCUGAGCAGCGAAUGGACGCGAUACGAAUACCAGGUGGCGCUGCAGGAAAUGCUAAAAAAGAAACACCGAAUCAUUCCCGUCAUACUGGAAGACAUAUCGGAAAUGGAGGAUGUGGACGAGACAUUGAAGCAAAUUCUGUCUUCCAUUACGUAUAUUAAAUGGCCAGAGAGUGAAAAGAAACAGAAACACUUCUGGAAGACUCUUCAGUUCUCACUUCCUAAGAAGAGAGCGGAAUGUGGCGGGAGUUCUGCUGAUACCGAGCUCAGUUCUACGGAAACCACGCCCUCAGAGGACUUCAAGUCAAUCAGUCAUCCACCCAGCGAUAAACUAACAAACACACAGCUAACGAAAACCACGUCUGACCUUAGAGACGUGAAAAUUAACUUUCCCAAUGAGUCGCGUCUGUUUAAAAACAUAGCUUUUGUUAGUAAUUUAAAAAUUGAAGAUUCUGGCAACUUAAAGGCGUUGAAAGACGAAGUUUACCAUUUCUAAUGAUUGGGUAUAAUUAUGCCUAUUCUGCUGUGCAUUGACAGUAUAUUAUGUUAAAGAGAAAAAGGCGUAUAUCAAACUGGCAUCUCAGACAAUCAAGGGUUGUCUCUCUUCUUCAGUAAUGCUGAGUAUGAUAAAGCUAGGAAGUAGGAGCAACUUUGCAAAAAACGUUUAAAAAAUAGUAUGAACGAGUUAUCUCACUUUAAAGGUAAUUCUGAGUUAAGUGUAUCGAGUAUUAAGUGUUCUCCGGUUAAAGAUGGAUUUACAAAUUUACUCAAACAAGUCAUGGAAAUAAGUUUUAAGCCAUGUUAAUAGCAAUGUGUAAAAUUCAAUUGUGAUGCACCCUAGUGUAUAUCAUAAUUAAAUUACAUAGAGAUUCCAUUAGUACAAUGGUAGAACAAUACUGUGAUAACACUAAAUAGGGGAAUAGUAGUGCACAGAUAUAUGAGCCAAUCUAUCUAUUGCAGAUAUGUUGUUAUAUCAAAUAAAGGUAUGUAAAUGAU
rnacentral:misc_RNA from 1 species